UGACCUUCUCCUUGUCCGGGUUCUGGUCCUGAUAGAGCUUCAGGAUAAAGUCUCUGGCGGCUUUGACGUCUUGCUUCGGUCCUGGUUCCGAGCACAGUUAGAGGGAUAAAGAAGAAAGAUGCCACUCACCACCAGGACUGUUCACAGCGUCAGCCCUGGGACACCCAUUCUGUUGGGUGUGGCCUCCAGACUUUGUGUCAGAAGUCGGGGGACAAAGAGAGGAAGACUGGCUCUUCAGCAGGGCCACCACCUUUAGAAACGCCGGAGAGAAGGGGCCCAGCGCACCUGUGCACACCUCCCAUGCAGUUGAUACCGGUGUGCUGGCAAGGGGAUCGGGAUCUCUAAUGUAUGGCUCCCCACACUCCCCCCCUGGCAUACCUCAUUGUCACACUCAGCCAGGACCUGGUCGUAUUCACUCAGCGCAACCAAGAAUAUGAUGGAGGUGACGCUCUCAAAGCAGUGGAUCCACUUCCGCCUUUCAGAUCGCUGGCCACCCACAUCCACCAUCCUGUCCAACAGAAACACAGGAGUGAAAAGGGGUCCUGAGACUGAAAGGUUUGAGCACCACUGCUUUUGACAAUGAGGAACCACCAGGCGUUUCCCCGCAGAGGAGGACGGAGUGUCAAACGGAUACUCGAUGAUGCCAGUUGUGGGCACGCGAACACGAAGCACAUCUUGCUGCGUCGGCACAUAUGACGGCAAGGCGAUCCGGUCAAUAUCAGUCAGGUAACUGCAAUAUCAGAGAACAAGUUGCUGAGACUCAUUUUACAGAAUGGAGAAGUGUUCAUCCCACUCCAGGAAGUCACCCCAGCUCAGAGCCACCCCC